CAGUGAUGGCUUCAGGAAAGGACACUUGUCCUACCUUACCUAAGCUGGCCAACAACUGUUCUGAUGAGCAUUCAUAUAAGCCUGCUAAUAAGUGAUGAGGUUCAUUUGCCACGGUUUUCAUUAAAACAAGGGAUGAUCCCAAGACGAUAUGUUAUGCCUUGGAAGGAAAGCAUGACAUUCAGGAAUAUAAAUCUGAAGCAUGCAGAAAUGUGCGGGAUCCACGCUGGGCCUCUAGAAGACUCUCUGUUUCUGGAACACAGUGAAAGGCUUUGCCAUGGGGAAGAUCGGAAAGCUGUCUUGAAGAAAGGCCCUCCAGAGAUAAAAAUUGCAGAUAUGCCUCUGCAUUCACCUCUCUCCAGAUACCAAAGCACGGUGAUUUCCCACGGCUUCAGGAGGCGGCUGGUUUGAUGAAAGAAGAAUAAAGCGAUGAAGUGUUUCACCCUCU